rnacentral:tRNA from 1 species
AGGUUUUAGCUUAAUUAAAGUGUCUGAGUUGCAGUCAGGAGAUGUAGAUAUGAUUUACAGGCCUUCA